rnacentral:lncRNA from 1 species
GGUUCCAGAAAAUUAGGAUUUGGUUCGUAUUCGUUUUUUUUUGGGUUUAAAAUCUAAACUUUCUAAUAGAGCCGUUUACUCGUCUCCGAUCUCAAAAGAUUUAACGGCUAUAAAAUCUCUCCUUCUGGCCUUCGUCUCCAAUCUCUCCGUUUAUACGGCGUAACUGCUACAGUCUCUUCCACUGUUUCAUCGGAGUCUAGGAAUCUGAUUGCCGGCGGUAAUGGUGGAAUUGGAUGAUCGUCUAAGGUUUGUUUUUGUUUAUCGAUCAGCUACGAUCGUAUAGAUUGUUUUCCGUUUCCUUCUUUCUCCGGUCAAAAAUUUGUGUUUGCUAUUAGAAGGUUUCUUUGAAUUAGGUCAAGAUCAGAGAGACGGGUUUUAAUUGUUUUCCUUGUUUUUUACUCUUUUGAGUCGUAAUUGGAAAUUUGGAUUUAGGGUUUAGGUUCAUUCUAAUACAACCAUGUGAACAGUUAGAUAUGGUUACAAUGGCUUUAAGACUGAUUCGUAAGUACAUAGCAAAAUUAGGAAGAAGGAUGUGUGUGUGUAUUUGUGUUGAUAAUGUGUAGUGAGAAAUCAGAAAUAGAAAAAAAUUGGCUUUUAGUUUUGCAUCUGUGUUUUUUUGCAAGUUUUACUCAUUACUCAAACAAAUAUAGAAACUAAUGCAGGAAUCAAGACGUUGAUAGCAUUGUCACUCUCUCACUGAUCCGCUACUUGACCAUUGACUCUGAAGGAGGUAAUUUGCUUUCAACUCUCUUAUGUCUUUUUCAUUCUUGAUAGUUUGCUUGUUAUCAGAAAAAUCUCGACUUGUCAGAAAUAGAUGUUAGGAAUGGUUGAAAAAGAUGGUAAAGUUGAAGUUGACUGCUCUUAUGAAAAGUUAAUGACAUAGUUUGAAGACAUGUCUGAUAAAUCUUGAGUGAAGCUAAUGUUACUAAUACCUGAAAGGCUGAAAACUUUGUUUAUUCAGAACUUCUUGUGUUACAUUUCCGUUAUGAACACUUUUACGUGGUUCUUCAGGCAUAUCUAGCUAGACAUGGGUAUCACUGUAUCAGAGUGGUGUAAAAUAUCUUCAUAAAGAUAUUUUACAACCUCAUAAACGUAGCUGUUCCCACGAGAAAUUUGAAAAGAACAAUCAUAAAGAGUAGCCUGUAGGAAUAACUAGAAAUGUGAGCAGCAUAGGAACUUGGGCAGACGACUCUUACUGCCUUCGUGAUCCUGUUCGUAACUCGGCAUCUCAGUUUCUUGGAAACAGGCAAUAUCCGGCCUCGAUGGUACCUGAAAGAGAAGGAAGGUGAUGUAUAGACUAAAUAAACCAUAGUAGAGAGAUGGGUCGAGACCAGAAUAUUCACCUCUUUGUUUAGUCUCCCUUUAAAAUGUUCUAAAGCAUCAGCGUCAAGAGAAUCACAACCCUCUGUAUCGAGAAACUGAAGGCUCUGUGGAAGUUCUUCUAGUGAUUUGAGUUUCUUGCAGUUAUUGAGGCAGAUAGUUACCAAUGAUGGAAAAUCUCUGAUGCUUGAUGGCAGUGUCUUAAAGUCAUGGCUGCUCAGAUCUAAAAAUGUCAACUUCGGGAAGUGACUAAGCUGAUCUGAUAACGACUUCACAUUCUUGCAGUUGUCAAGGCAAAGCUCAAGCAAACAGUAUAUGCCCGGAUCUUGACUUGCAUCAUAGGGUUUCACCAAUGAUCUGAGGCUCCUACAGUUGGAAAGAGUGAGUGACUGCACCUGAGUUAGCUCUGGCAAUUCCUUGAGUUUGCUACAGUUUCGAAGACAGAGAGUUUUCAACCGGGAAAGUCUAUUCAUGUCUUCUGGUAAGCUCUCAAAAUCAUUUCCGCUGAAGUCCAGUUUCUCUAAGAAUUCAAAGUGGCCAAUCGCAUCUGACAGCUUUUGGAUAUUUAAGUUGACUAGUUGUAGCUCUUCUAAGCCAGGUAUAUGUGGAAAACUCUGAAAGGUCACAGGUCGACUGUUCUCUUUGUAGCUGAACCUCCGGAUAUUGAGUGAAGUAGAAUUGUUGAGAUCGGAGAUGAUCCGAGGAGCUUGGUGGACACUUACUGUCUUUGUGCCAUGGAUCUUUUGCUCAGAUCUAAAGGAGAAGUAUUCAGCAAAUCCUUCACAAUCUGCAAAAACACAAAAUUUUAUGUCUCCCGUGAUCAAUAUAUUCUUUAGUUGCAUUUCCACUCUUGCAGUUGGGAACUCCAGUGUAAUAUGUUGCGUCUGAGUCACAUUCCCUAUUACAACACCCAGGGGACUCCUAGGCCCGCCAUAGUAUGAUAGAUUAAGGCUGCUUAGGCUAGACUUUUCUCCAAUUGACUCUGGAAUUCCUUUUAGUCUCUUGCAUUGUUCUAUCAUCAACUCGUCAAGCAUCUCGGAACAUGAAAGGUCUGGAAGUUGUUUGAGAUUCUUAGAUCCCGUCACAUCUAGUUUCUUCAAAUUACUGAACUUCUGAAGAACGUACAACAAAGAAUAGUUGGAUUUUGCACAUUUCAUAGCAAAAACAGUAAUACAUGGUCAAAAUCAUAGGCAAGGUUACCAGUACUCCACUCCAUAGUGUUUCGAGGUUGCUGUGACGCAGAAUGAGUUCCACAAGACCAUAUUUAUUAAACAUGAGUGGCAAUGUGCGCAAUGGAAAUGCAUCCCAGUGGAGUAGGGUACAAUUCAUGGAAGGGUAAACAUCGUCAGGAAUCACCUGCAGUCUCGAUUCUCUGUCGUCAACAUGCUUGUAGACCUUGACAAAUCUAAGUUUAUACAUUUUGCCAAAUACACCGGUCUCCAUCGAAAAUGGACAUUUCAUUUCACAUGUGUGUAGGGAGAUACUUUCAGUCUGGCCUAUUCCCUGGUGAUAGAAACUAUUUAAGUGAGCUGGCGUAAACAGAAACAUAAAUACAUUAAGAGAUUAAGUUGCAGGAUGCCAAGACGAUAUAUCAAAGAUUAAGUAGAUACGUACUUCUCGGUAAUCUAGUGCAUCAUGAAUUUUCUCAGGAUCCCCGAUGAAUUUUCCACUGUCAAGCAUAAUUUCCCUUCCCAUUUGUUCAACCAGCUUAUGCAGGAUUACAAAUCCAUUACUUGUUAUAUUUAUGAGUGAUUUCUCUGCUAAAACUCUCAUCCACAAGUUACUUUCACGUCUGCUAAGAACAAGUAGUGAAGUGACACGCCUGUAAGUGUCUCCAUUAAAGAGACAUGCAACAUGAAGAAAAGCAUUCUGAUGUGGUUUUGCUAAUCCCUCGUAGCUAAUUUUUAAGAUUUCCAUUAUAUUCUCGUCAGGAGUACUUUCAAGUCCACAUACUGCUUCUUCCCAUUCCUCAGGAGAGUUGGCCCUUCCACGGAGAAAUAAGGCAUAAGCUUGAAUUGCAGAAGGAAGCCCAUGGGCAAGCUGAGCUGCUCGGAUUGAGAGAUCAUCAAAUUCAGCAGAAGGACUGCCUCCUUCGAAAGCUAUCUUUUUAAACAUCUGCAGGGAAUCCAUAUCGUCCAAACACUGAACCCCAUAGAUGGCUUUUACUCCACAGCAAUUGAGCAUGCCCCUGUCUCGGGUGGUUAUGAUUAUUCGGCUACCACAACCAAACCAUCUUGUCUCUUUUGCCAGAGCAUGGAUCUGCACCAAAUUAUCCACACCAUCAAGCACAAGAAGAACCUUGUGGUUCCCAAGUCUUGUUGCUAUGACCUCACGUCCAGCUUCCACGCUCCACGGCGUUAUAUCAUCACCAAGGGUAUUGUAGAGAAGUUUGUUUUGCAAAUGCAGUAGAUCAAGGUCUUUAUAAAUACCCUUAAUGUCUUCUGUGAAAUACCUGGUUGUAAAAUGAGAUGAGAGCUGGUCAUAGAGACACUUGGCGAUGGCUGUUUUGCCAAUGCCUCCCAUUCCCCAGAUUCCAAUCAUACGAACCUCAUCAUUAUUGGAGUCCAUGUCCAAGAGAGACUUGAGACCUUCCAUGUGAGUAUCCACCCCAACAAUAUUUCUGAAGUCUAUCUUAUGCAUCAUCGCCUUGCGCCUUGAAAUAUCUUCGACAAUUUUCCGAACCAUAGUUGCCUCAUCAAUGCUGAACUCGGAAAAAAACACAAGUAUAAUGAACAUUUUCCAAAGCUGGUUAUGCAUAAUAAAAUUCAGGUUCCUGUGAGGAAAAAAACAUACCACUGUCCAGAUGCCACACCAGAUAGGUCAGCUAUCAUUUUUAGAGAUUCUCUCCACUUGGGAACCUUAUCUGCCAUUUGUGGAUCACGUUCGUACCCUUCUAGAUCGAAACUUCCUUGCUGAUGUCUCACGGCAGAGGGAUCUACUCUAUAGAAGACUGGAAAGACACCAAUUCUUCCCUCCACCUGAAGCUUCAUUAUCAUUUGGAGCUCCAUUAAGCACCACCUGGAAGAAGGGUAGUUCUCUGAGAGAACCACGACAACAAAAUCUGAACCUUCAAUGGCUCUGUGGAGUUCUUCAGAAAUGUGAUCGCCUAACUCAAGCCUUUUGUCGUCUUUGAAGGUAACAAUUCCUCUACUAGCAAGUGCUGCGUACAAAUGGCUCACGAUAGAAUGUCGAGUGUCUUCACCACGGAAACUGAGGA